rnacentral:rRNA from 1 species
UUCCGGUUGAUCCUGCCGGAAGUCAUUGCUAUUGGAGUCCGAUUUAGCCAUGCUAGUCGUACGAGCUUAGACUCGUGGCGAAUAGCUCAGUAACACGUGGCCAAACUACCCUGUCGAUCGGGAUAACCUCGGGAAACUGAGGCUAAUACCGAAUACGGCUCGAUGCCUGGAACUGGCUCGAGCUCGAAACGCUACGGCGCGACAGGAUGUGGCUGCGGCCGAUUAGGUAGACGGUGGGGUAACGGCCCACCGUGCCGAUAAUCGGUACGGGUUGUGAAAGCAAGAGCCCGGAGACGGAAUCUGAGACAAGAUUCCGGGCCCUACGGGGCGCAGCAGGCGCGAAACCUUUACACUGCACGAGAGUGCGAUAGGGGGACUCCAAGUGCGAGGGCAUACAGUCCUCGCUUUUGUACACCGUAAGGUGGUGUACGAAUAAGUGCUGGGCAAGACCGGUGCCAGCCGCCGCGGUAAUACCGGCAGCACGAGUGAUGACCGCUAUUAUUGGGCCUAAAGCGUCCGUAGCCGGCCGGGCAAGUCCAUCGGGAAAUCCGCACGCCUAACGUGCGGGCGUCCGGUGGAAACUGCCUGGCUUGGGACCGGAAGACCCGGGGGGUACGUCUGGGGUAGGAGUGAAAUCCUGUAAUCCUGGACGGACCGCCGGUGGCGAAAGCGCCUCGGGAAGACGGAUCCGACGGUGAGGGACGAAAGCUAGGGUCACGAACCGGAUUAGAUACCCGGGUAGUCCUAGCCGUAAACGAUGUCUGCUAGGUGUGGCGCUGGCUACGAGCCAGCGCUGUGCCGUAGGGAAGCCGUGAAGCAGACCGCCUGGGAAGUACGUCUGCAAGGAUGAAACUUAAAGGAAUUGGCGGGGGAGCACUACAACCGGAGGAGCCUGCGGUUUAAUUGGAUUCAACGCCGGA